rnacentral:rRNA from 1 species
UACAGAGGGGGCAAGCGUUGUUCGGAAUUACUGGGCGUAAAGGGCGCGUAGGCGGCCUUCUAAGUCGAACGUGAAAUCCCCGGGCUCAACCCGGGAACUGCGUCCGAUACUGGAGGGCUUGAAUCCGGGAGAGGGAUGUGGAAUUCCAGGUGUAGCGGUGAAAUGCGUAGAUAUCUGGAGGAACACCGGUGGCGAAGGCGACAUCCUGGACCGGUAUUGACGCUGAGGCGCGAAAGCGUGGGGAGCAAACAGG